GAUGAACGCUGGCGGCGUGCCUAAUACAUGCAAGUCGAGCGAACGGACGAGAAGCUUGCUUCUCUGCUGUUAGCGGCGGACGGGUGAGUAACACGUGGAUAACCUUCCUAUAAGACUGGGAUAACUUCGGGAAACCGGAGCUAAUACCGGAUCAUAUUUUGAACCGCAUGGUUCAAAAGUGCUAGACAGUCUUGCUGUCACUAUUAGAUGGAUCCGCGCUGCAUUAGCUAGUUGGUAAGGUAACGGCUUACCAAGGCAACGAUGCAUAGCCGACCUGAGAGGGUGAUCGGCCACACUGGAACUGAGACACGGUCCAGACUCCUACGGGAGGCAGCAGUAGGGAAUCUUCCGCAAUGGGCGAAAGCCUGACGGAGCAACGCCGCGUGAGUGAUGAAGGUCUUCGGAUCGUAAAACUCUGUUAUUAGGGAAGAGCAUAUGUGUAAGUAACUGUGCACAUCUUGACGGUACCUAAUCAGAAAGCCACGGCUAACUACGUG
rnacentral:rRNA from 1 species